GUAGCCAGCCUGCCAGGGAUUCUCUCAUCCCCUCCCGUCUUGUCAUAGGAGGGCUGGGACUGCAGACGUGCACUGCUGCAUCUGGCACUGCACAGCUCCAUGCCAAGCAUGUCCUGCACCCACUGAGCCAUCACCACAGCCCCCAUCUUUUCAUUUCUGUGACAGCUCUCCUUAGGGAUAAUGCCCGCCUAGGGGAGGAGCAUGAGAUCCCAGACUGUAUCCGAGAGCAUCCUCGCUGAGCACUUCUUCCUUCACUUCCCACAACACUCACGUGGCCAGGGCUCUGAGAAGCUUACCGAAUUCAACAAGCAGCUGCCCCCCUAGGCGACCCUGGGAGGCAGUUCCGGCCUCAUGUGCUUCCCCCCCAAGCUCGAGUCUGAACCUCAGGGAAAGCUUCCCUUCAGACUAGUCACCUGACUUCUCCUUAGUGAUGCUUAGUCCUCCGCUCCAUCCCUGGGACCGCGAGAGAAAAUGACAAGCAGAGAAAAUGACACAGAUGAUGCAGAGAGCUCCAGGUGUGUACACGCCAAGAGACGCACAAGCUCACACGUCUCACCAUCCCCAGCCACACACCAUUCCUAGCCCGCUGACUCCUGCCUUACUCUGUGGAGACCGAAGCCAACCAACAAUUUCUUCUUUCAACCAGAAAGAUAAGACCUUCCGUAUUGGUGGCACUGGGUUGCCAAAGACCCUUGGAUGUUUCUGGAGCUAGCGAAGCCUUCAAGAAACCCGGCGUUUCAGAGAGAUCCCAGCAUGC